UGACUGUGAAAAUGAACAGUUCUUUUUUACCUUUUAUUCCUUGAAAAUAUACGUCAAUUUUUGAAUAUAAGUGGCAAUUCUUGGAAAGCUGCCACAAACCAAGGAUGUUGGGAGUGGGGAUCAGGGCUUUUUGCCAAGAACAAGGGGAGAAGUUCCCUCUUGAUUUAAAAGCCUGCAAAAUUUGGACUAGAAAUUUACAUAUUCUUAAUUUUAGUCCUUCCGGCUUCUCCCAAACACUUUCAAAAGCCAAACCUUUCCUAAAGAAAUUUUGCAAUCGAGUUCAAUCGAGAUAAAAAUUUUAAUAAAUUGUUGUGGAAGCACAGUUUGAGUUUGAGCGAGUUUGACAAGUCUCCAGCGGAGAAGGCAAGCAGAAUGUGUACCAGGUGAUACUGUUUAUUUAAAACCGUUUGCUAUUUGAAAUUUUCGCUAACCUAACCAGAAAAAAAUUCAGCCUCUUGUCCCUCGACGUCUGUGACAAACAAUGGCUUCAACGAAAGACGACAUUGCCCAUGAAGACCGAAAGGUAUUUUAUGAUUUCUACAACUACUUUUAUUUAUACAUUGCAUUGCAGCUGUUUCCCUCUACACUACUCACUACACUAGAUGAUGCUUUCUGUAUAUUUUUACGAUGAUAUGGGCGGUCGUUUAUGCCAUAUAGAAAUAUUUUAUAGAUUUUAUAUUAUAGCACAGAAUUUAUAAAUGACAUGGCCAGAAAGGAGAGCUUUCUGUGUGGGCAGUGUGAGUAUUAACAGCGAGGAUCGGACAUCAUUGAACCGCCGGUAAAGUGGUGCAAACGCUAAGUUUUGACCAUGUUUAUGACCUUGAUUUAUGUAACGGUUGGAGAUAUUGCUAAUCGCAUCUUUGAGUGUUAUUUCAGUAAUAUAAAUAUAGCUGAGUAAGCCUCCUUGAGUGUACCUAACAACGCAUUUCAAGAACAAUGGCUUGGAGUUCUUUGAUGGCGUCAAGCCAGUGUUACAAACCAAAUCAUGAUGUUGGGAAGUUAUCACAUUAAAAUUUUAUCAAAAUGGGAGUGAAUGCAAUUUCCUUAAAUUUUUUUAAAAUUGAUAACUAUUGCCUUGAAAAAGGAGCUUUAUUUUGCGUACGACGGUCGAUUUUUACCGCGGUAAGUUAGCCUAAACAACGUGUUUGGCAAAGCAAACAGUUCAUGUUAUAUGUCGUUGUUUUUGUCCCAUAUGCCAAGUGGCAUUUUCCAUCUUUUCCGCUCCAGACUUUAUAAUUGCGCUAUUGAUUUACCUGAAUUGUAAUGUCAAAAGAUUAAAAGGUCCAUACUGUGCAAAAACUAUACAAAAUUAUUAAACAAUAUUAUAGAUCACUGUGAAUUUUUAUUCCGACAGAUCGGCGCUGGUUUAUUUGAUCAAAGAUGAGAAAGUCAAAGCUUGCACUUUUAGAGCGGGCUUUAUUAAUGACAUGAACCAUUGUGUGUUCUAAUUAAAUCGUUUUAACUAAACAGGAUCAAUAUAGCAAGGUUACAAGGUUAUAUGCACUAGCUAUAUACUGAUUAGAAUGUAAAACUGAGCAACAUACAUUGUAUAAGUUAUACAUUGUAUAAACUGAGCAACAAAUAUAAGACACUGAGGUAUUUUUAAACAAGUGGACCUCCUAGAUGAUAAAUUAAUCUUCUGUC